rnacentral:rRNA from 2 species
UACGUAGGGUGCGAGCGUUAAUCGGAAUUACUGGGCGUAAAGCGUGCGCAGGCGGAUUGUUAAGCAAGACGUGAAAUCCCCGGGCUUAACCUGGGAAUGGCGUUUUGAACUGGCAGUCUAGAGUGCGUCAGAGGGGGGUGGAAUUCCACGUGUAGCAGUGAAAUGCGUAGAGAUGUGGAGGAACACCGAUGGCGAAGGCAGCCCCCUGGGAUGACACUGACGCUCAUGUACGAAAGCGUGGGUAGCAAACAGGAUUAGAUACCCUGGUAGUCCACGCCCUAAACGAUGUCAACUGGUUGUUGGGGGAGUGAAAUCCCUUAGUAACGAAGCUAACGCGUGAAGUUGACCGCCUGGGGAGUACGGUCGCAAGAUUAAA